GAUGAAGAACGUAGCGAAAUGCGAUAAGUAAUGUGAAUUGCAGAAUUCAGUGAAUCAUCGAAUCUUUGAACGCACAUUGCGCCCGUCAGUAUUCUGGCGGGCAUGCCUGUUCGAGCGUCAUUACGCCCCUCAAGUCCCCUGUGGACUUGGUGUUGGGGAUCGGCGAGGCUGGUUUUCCAGCACAGCCGUCCCUUAAAUUAAUUGGCGGUCUCGCCGUGGCCCUCCUCUGCGCAGUAGUAAAACACUCGCAACAGGAGCCCGGCGCGGUCCACUGCCGUAAAACCCCCCAGCUUUUUAUAGUUGACCUCGAAUCAGGGAGGACUACCCGCUGAACUUAAGCAUAUCAAUAAGCGGAGGA
rnacentral:misc_RNA from 1 species